UGUAUCCUUUACCUGUGGUAUCUUUUGUUUUAUAACCUGUCUCUCUCCACUAAAAUGUAGGCCCCAUGAGAGUACUUUUGUUUUUUUAUUAAUUUACUCCAAGUGCUUAAAUUAGUUCUUGGAUGAAGGUGGCUGUCAAGAAGCCAGACCACUGAUUUUGAAUUGUUGGGAAAAAUCUGGGAAGAUGGGAAAAGGCAAGGCAGUGUGUGACAUCACCAGAGUCCUUGAGUGCUGGAGCCUGGACAUGAUACCGGGGCCACCAGGAUAGACGGGGUGGGGCACGUUGCCUACUAUAGAAACAACAGUAUUCCAAAGCUGAGGUGCUCAACAGAAGGCCAAAGUCUAGCGCAUCAGCGCUGUACCUGCAUCUCAGUCUAAGGCAAACAGAUGUGAGAGCAGAAAUCUGUUGAUGGAAAAAAAUGCAGAAGCUAAACAUUGAGAAUUACGCUUUAUUGGGGGCUUUACGGAGGACUUCAGCCCGGAUACAUACUGUUGGAGUCACUGCCUGUCUGAGGCUGAAGAAGAAAGAGCAACAGAUCCCAGGAGCGUCGGUCAGCUCCAUCUCCAAACAGAAGGGGAGGAGGAGGAAGAGAGGAAACAGGAGCCGGAAGAGAAGGUGGAGAUGCUGUUCCAAGUCAGGCGAGUAGGUGUCAUCUGCCCCACGGCAGCCCUUUCCCUUCUGGGGUCCCUGGGGGCGGGA